AUGGAUGUGAUGAUUAUUUCCCCAGAUGAUCGAAUAUGAAAUAACUGAGCGCAUUAUUUAUGUUUCUCCUUAUGGAGAAACUCAAGCCAGAAAUCUGAUCCAUCGUUUUUUUUUUAAGUUUUAUUUGAUUUAAAAUUUGUAAUUUGAUUUUUUUUAUUGGAGAAUUGAGAUGAAGAUUAUUUCCCCAGAUGAUCGAAGUUGAUUAUACUGAGCGCAUUGUUAUAGUUCCCUUUAAUAGGGAAUUCCAAGCCAGAAAUCUGAUCCUCUUUUUUGUAUAAUUGUUUUAUGAUUUUUUUUAGGAAUCAAGUUACUAUGUUAUUAUUGUUUUUGUGAAUGUGAAUGCCUGCCUCUGAUGAUGAUUCAAAUAAAACUUUCGUUCUUCUGAAUAUCCUUGUGGAAACGAUUAUUGGAGACCUGAACUGAAGAGGC
rnacentral:lncRNA from 1 species